GGAACUGUAGCUCAGUGGAUAGAGCACCUAAAACAUCCUUCUUCACUUUUUGCCUUUCGGGGACGUAGAACAAGGGUUAUCGCCUUCUAAGCGGGAGGUCGUAGGUUCGAUUCCUACCAGUUUCA
rnacentral:tRNA from 1 species